AUGAAACCUCAGAGCUGGCUCAGAAGGAACUGGCUGUGGGCUGUCUCUGGUGCCUUUGUGACUAUCCACCUGGCUACAUGGAUAAUGCAGAGAACUAUGAAGAGCGUGGUGCGCUCUGAGGUUGCAGUCAAAAAGAAAACUGUUGAAGGGAGACCAGACUGAUUUUUAUUGAAGUCCCUGGAAUGAUGGAAGGAUAGAAAUCAGCCUCCAGACGACUGUGCCCCACAUUAACUGAUAAAGACUGUACUCUAUCCAUCCACAUCCACUUGAGAAUGUCAAGUUUGAAACGAUUGCUGUAAAAAAUCAGUUUUGUUGGACAGUUUGACACUUUUCUUGAGUUAGUUAAAAAUAAAUUGAUGUUUCAAGUUGUGAUUUAAAGUAAUUAAGAACAUGGAAAUGUAUAUUUCAAUAAAAUAAAUGUCGUGAUUAAGACUUUUUUUAUGUUGAUUUAAAGGGUGGACUUACUCAGCUUCACAGUGUAUUGUUGGAAGAUUGUAUUUAUUUCUUCAUGUUAACCAAUUCAGUUUAAACACCUAAAAUUAUAGAUAUCAGUGCUGCUAACAAGAAUUAUCUUAAACUAAAGCACGAAUAGUCAAAUUUUAUUUCAACUGGGGCAGACACUUAAAACCACAGUAUUAAUACUGUGUUAAAAAUGUAUCCAAAAAUGAUUUGUUUCUUGUCAUUAAGAAAAAAACAUUGUUUCAUUAAAUGUGAUUGUUUUCAUAUCCAUAUCAAAUAAAUCUGUUGGAAUCUCCCCUUA